AGUAAGCCCGUGUGCUUUCGCUCUGUGUUGCCUUGAAAACGCAGUUUUCUAUCUCUAGCUCACCAUGAAGGUCAGCCUGACUUGCAAAUUGCUUCUCAGUCACUCACACCCGUGGGUCUGAAGGAUUACUGCAAGUAUCUUCUGUAUUACU